CUUGAUUAUUUUUAUUUUUUUUAGUAGGGUGACAUACCUUCGAUACUUUGAUCCCCUAAAAUAGUGGAAAUGUCCUUAGCCUCUAAACAAGAAUUUUUCAAGACGUCCACGGCACUACUAGAGAAUAAUAUUUUUCGUAGGUGAAGCUCUUUGGAAUUAAAGACGUUGCAUCAACUUCCGCGUCAAUUUCUGUCUUUAUAAAGUCUAUACAUCCGUCAUCUCCAAAGGCUCCCCAUUCUGGAUCCAUAAUAACAUGCUUCGUUUUACUACCCUUAGACCAACGAAUAACAUUUUCCCCUUUCUCGAAAUAAGCACCAUUUGAUCCAGUUCCUAUAAUUAAUCCAAUGGCUGUAUUAGGAUCAUCAUAUGCACCACGGACAAGGGUUCCUGUUGUAUCAUUUAAAAUAGCAAUAACAGAUACAUUAAUUGUUUUAGGAAAUUUUUUUAAUGCAUCUCUUAACAUCUGAACUGCAUCCCGUCCGACACUUUCAGAGCAAUUAAACCUUGAUGUCCAUGUAACCAGGACCCCAGAAUCGAGAGAAUUCUGUCUCAUGGGGAAACUAAAAGAGAAACCAAGAGGAAGUUCUCCUUCAAAUUGAGGUAUAUGAUCCUGAAUAAAGUUGGAGCAACAUUCUGCCAGGAAUUCAAAGAGUGCUUCUCCCUUCCCAUAUCUUUUUUCUUCUGGAAUGGAAUAGGGUUCGAUAUCCUCUCUCACGAUGCGCCCUUCCUUCAUUUCAAUAAGAAUAAUUCUGAAAUUAGAUGAUCCUAAAUCCAUAGCCAUAUACAAUCCCUCUUCUUUCCCACUAAGCAACUCUGGUACAAAGGUAUUUUCCAUUUGAAUGCAGGAUUUGUCUAAUCCAUGUUUCAUACCAAGUUCAAGCUUCUCAUGAAAUACAGAGCGAACUUUAUUGACUUGUUCUUCACUAAGCACAAAUUUUGUUAAACUGUUCUUAAUUUCUUUAGCUCGACUUUUGUUAGACAAUAUCAAAUUUGGAGAAUCCAUGAUAAUGAAACAAUGAAUAAGCCGACUCUUGUAAGGUGAAGACUUAUUUUCAUCAACAACUGAAAAUUAUUUAUUACACGUCAAAUUAAAUAAACUAUGAAGAGAUCUCCAUCGGAAGAACACUAGCUCCAACCACGCAACCUGCUGUGAUAGAAAACUUUAUUUUUAAGAGAAAUUCAUCUUGGUCAAUUAAUAUUAACUUCGUACAAUUAUGCAAAGGUAGUAUUUUGUCGUAGUUCUAAUUUUAUAUCAAUGCCAGGUGGUAUUUUAAUCAAUUCUCCCAAUUUGGGCUAAUAUUUUACAAAAGAACGCUCAUUAAUUUACCUAUAUAUCAUAUGAACAAUACUUAUUUUUCAUAGUAUCAUUUUAGUUUGAAUUAAAAUAUAUAAUUACAUAUAUUAA
rnacentral:lncRNA from 1 species